rnacentral:rRNA from 1 species
UACGAAGGGGGCUAGCGUUGCUCGGAAUCACUGGGCGUAAAGGGUGCGUAGGCGGUUUGGCAAGUCUUGUGUGAAAUCUUUGGGCUCAACCCAAAGUCUGCACAAGAAACUGCCGGGCUUGAGUAUGGGAGAGGUGAGUGGAAUUUCCGGUGUAGCGGUGAAAUGCGUAGAUAUCGGAAGGAACACCUGUGGCGAAAGCGGCUCACUGGACCAUUACUGACGCUGAGGCACGAAAGCUAGGGGAGCAAACAGG